UACGGGGGAUGCAAGUGUUAUCCGGAAUCACUGGGCGUAAAGCGUCUGCAGGUGGUUUCCUAAGUCCACUGUUAAACCUUGAGGCUCAACCUCAAAUCUGCAUUGGAAACUAGGAGACUUGAGUAUAGUAGGGGUAGAGGGAAUUUCCAGUGGAGCGGUGAAAUGCGUAGAUAUUGGAAAGAACACCGGUGGCGAAGGCACUCUACUGGGCUAUUACUGACCCUCAGAGACGAAAGCUAGGGGAGCAAAUGGG
rnacentral:rRNA from 1 species